UACGGAGGGUGCAAGCGUUAUCCGGAUUCACUGGGUUUAAAGGGUGCGUAGGUGGGUCUGUAAGUCAGUGGUGAAAUCUCCGGGCUUAACCCGGAAACUGCCAUUGAUACUAUAGGUCUUGAAUUUUCUGGAGGUUAGCGGAAUAUGUCAUGUAGCGGUGAAAUGCUUAAAUAUGACAUAGAACACCAAUUGCGAAGGCAGCUAACUACAGGGAUAUUGACACUGAGGCACGAAAGCGUGGGGAUCAAACAGG
rnacentral:rRNA from 1 species